CCUACGGGUGGCUGCAGUGAGGAAUAUUGGUCAAUGGACGGGAGUCUGAACCAGCCAUGUAGCGUGAAGGAUGACUGCCCUAUGGGUUGUAAACUUCUUUUAUAUAAGAGUAAACUUUUCCACGUGUGUGCUUUUGUAUGUACCCUAUGAAUAAGGAUCGGCUAACUCCGUGCCAGCAGCCGCGGUAAUACGGAGGAUCCGAGCGUUAUCCGGAUUUAUUGGGUUUAAAGGGUGCGUAGGUGGAUUGUUAAGUCAGUGGUGAAAUUUUUCGGCUCAACCGUGAAACUGCAUCUGAAACUGGCAGUCUAGAGUACAGUAGAGGUGGGCGGAAUGUGUGGUGUAGCGGUGAAAUGCUUAGAGAUCAUGAAGAACUCCGAUUGCGAAGGCAGCUUACCGGACUGUAACUGACACUGAGGCGCGAAAGUGUGGGGAUCAAACAGGAUUAGAUACCCCAGUAGUC
rnacentral:rRNA from 1 species